GGUAGCGCCAGUAUCGGUUCAACGUCAGAACCGUACGCGUCUUAUUUCGUAAGAGUUUCUUUAGAGCGUUGUGUCGUAUUUGCGCCGGAGUCACAACAAUAAAACUAUUCAUACGUCACAAUCAUUGGCGGCCAACGCGCCACAAAUACUUGUAAAAUUAACAAUCGAUCGUGUUUAGAGUUACAUAUUUAUUUGUAAAUUCGUUAUUUUCGCGAAGCAAAAAAAAAAAAAAGACAAAAGUCCCCAAAGUGUUGCUUAUUAAAACUCGAGGAAUCAAACAAUUAUACCAACGGUAAUUUGAGCCAGAGAAAACCAAAAAACAAUAAAUGCGGAUUUUAGAAGGCAGCGCUUUGAAGCCGUCAAUUGAAAAAGUUAAAUAGCAAAAAUGUUCGCCGAAACAAAUAACAGUUGGCAAGAAAAUUUCAUGCAAGUGAUUUAUUGAAUUUUUUUAUUGGUAAAUUUCAUUAGAAAUUAACAAAAAAAGUGAACGUUUGGAAUUGCUGACAACCUACUACUUAAGUAUUCUUAAAAGUGUUUUAAAGUGCAAGCGAAUUGGACAUUUAUUCAAAUAUUUGGUGCUAAAAUUCCAAAUUCAAACCAAACUGCACAACUACAGCAACAAGAGCAACAAAAACGCCCAAUUUUCUGCGCCUUUCUAAAAAUUCGCCAGCAGUGCAUUUCAUUAAAAGCAGCAAAAUCUCUAAGCAAACAAAAGAAGUUAACGCGCCGCCACUCGAGAGUGAAGGACCAAAAACAACAGCAACACAAAAAACAACUAAACUUUAGCGCCACUUUUUGCCAACUACCUAUCUGACUACGAGGAGGCAUUUAAAAAAAAAAAUACUACAUUUUAAAAUUGGCUAGUACGGCUGCUUAGUUAACCACUUACUUUGAAGCUAUUUAUAUCGCAAAUAUUACAAAAACACUAAGAAAGUGGGAAACUCAAGACUUCUUCUACUCAAAUUCACAACAACAACUGACUACUAUUAAGCAAAUUAUUACUUUAGCUUGGAGAAAAACAUUAAAACAUUUACAAGCUUCAACUAAAUUUUAACUACAUAAUUACAACUACAACUACAACUACAACUAAGUACUAACACUAAUGCUUUCGCCUAUUUAAAAUAACAACAAAAAAAAAAGCAAAAACUUACCAAUAAUACUAUUUACCACUUAAAAAGCAACUAAAAAGUACCUUUUUACUACAAAAAAAAACUAAAAGCAAAACAAAGCUAGUAGAACAAAUGCCCAGCGGUGAAAAUUACGCCGGCAAACAAUUUUGCAAAAAGGUAGUGAGCGGCCUUGCACACCCACUUCGGUGAUACUAAAACAAACAAAAAAAAAAACAAAAACAUUUAAUUGGAAAGCAAAGUAACUAAAAAGUAAAAAAAAAAAUACUAAGCACGUCAGCUAAAAUAAAUUUUUACUACUCUUUUUCACUCCGCUUUAUCAACUACAUACAUACUAAAUGAGCAGUAUACUAGAGCAAAAAGUAGCCUAGAAAAAAGCGCAAUUUUACACUUUUCGCAUUAAAAUACAAUAACUACAAUUAAAAAUCUUGCCAAUCUACAUUAUGAAAAAUUAGAGUGCGAAGCAGUAAAGCAUAAACAUUAACUACUAAGCUAAGUCAUAGACUUUUUUGUCAAAUUCAAAAAAAAAAGAAAUGAAAAAUAU